rnacentral:rRNA from 1 species
GGAAUAUUGCACAAUGGGGGAAACCCUGAUGCAGCGACGCCGCGUCAGUGAAGAAGUAUUUCGGUAUGUAGAGCUCUAUCAGCGGGGAAGAUAAUGAUGGUACCUGACUAAUAAGCCCCGGCUAACUACGUGCCAGCAGCCGCGGUAAUACGUAGGGGGCAAGCGUUAUCCGGAUUUACUGGGUGUAAAGGGAGCGUAGGUGGCAGGGCAAGUCAGAUGUGAAAACCCGGGGCUCAACCCCGGGAGUGCAUUUGAAACUGUCUGGCUGGAGUGCAGGAGAGGUAAGCGGAAUUCCUAGUGUAGCGGUGAAAUGCAUAGAUAUUAGGAGGAACACCAGUGGCGAAGGCGGCUUACUGGACUGUAACUGACACUGAGGCUCGAAAGCGUGGGGAGCA